rnacentral:rRNA from 1 species
GGGUUGUGAGGUUAAGUGACUAAGCGUACACGGUGGAUGCCUAGGCAGUCAGAGGCGAUGAAGGACGUGCUAAUCUGCGAUAAGCGUCGGUGAGCUGAUAUGAAGCAUUAUUAGCCGGCGAUGUCCGAAUGGGGAAACCCAGUGCAAUCCGUUGCACUAUCGUUAAGUGAAUACAUAGCUUAACGAGGCGAACCAGGGGAACUGAAACAUCUAAGUACCCUGAGGAAAAGAAAUCAACCGAGAUUCCCCCAGUAGCGGCGAGCGAACGGGGAAGAGCCCAGAACCUGAAUCAGUUUGUGCAUUAGUGGAAGCGUCUGGAAAGUCGCGCGAUACCGGGUGAUAGCCCCGUACACGAAGGUGCACAGCUGUGAGUUCGAUGAGUAGGGCGGGACACGUGUUAUCCUGUCUGAAUAUGGGGGGACCAUCCUCCAAGGCUAAAUACUCCUGACUGACCGAUAGUGAACCAGUACCGUGAGGGAAAGGCGAAAAGAACCCCGGCGAGGGGAGUGAAAUAGAACCUGAAACCGUGUACGUACAAGCAGUGGGAGCAUCCUUCGGGGUGUGACUGCGUACCUUUUGUAUAAUGGGUCAGCGACUUAUAUUUUGUAGCAAGGUUAACCGAAUAGGGGAGCCGUAGGGAAACCGAGUCUUAACUGGGCGUCUAGUUGCAAGGUAUAGACCCGAAACCCGGUGAUCUAGCCAUGGGCAGGUUGAAGGUUGGGUAACACUAACUGGAGGACCGAACCGACUAAUGUUGAAAAAUUAGCGGAUGACUUGUGGCUGGGGGUGAAAGGCCAAUCAAACCGGGAGAUAGCUGGUUCUCCCCGAAAGCUAUUUAGGUAGCGCCUCGUGAAUUCAUCUUCGGGGGUAGAGCACUGUUUCGGCUAGGGGGUCAUCCCGACUUACCAACCCGAUGCAAACUACGAAUACCGAAGAAUGUUAUCACGGGAGACACACGGCGGGUGCUAACGUCCGUCGUGAAGAGGGAAACAACCCAGACCGCCAGCUAAGGUCCCAAAGUCAUGGUUAAGUGGGAAACGAUGUGGGAAGGCAUAGACAGCCAGGAUGUUGGCUUAGAAGCAGCCAUCAUUUAAAGAAAGCGUAAUAGCUCACUGGUCGAGUCGGCCUGCGCGGAAGAUGUAACGGGGCUAAACCAUGCACCGAAGCUGCGGCAGCGACACUAUGUGUUGUUGGGUAGGGGAGCGUUCUGUAAGCCUGUGAAGGUGGCCUGUGAGGGCUGCUGGAGGUAUCAGAAGUGCGAAUGCUGACAUAAGUAACGAUAAAGCGGGUGAAAAGCCCGCUCGCCGGAAGACCAAGGGUUCCUGUCCAACGUUAAUCGGGGCAGGGUAAGUCGACCCCUAAGGCGAGGCCGAAAGGCGUAGUCGAUGGGAAACAGGUUAAUAUUCCUGUACUUGGUGUUAUUGCGAAGGGGGGACGGAGAAGGCUAGACCGGCCGGGCGACGGUUGUCCCGGUUUAAGCGUGUAGGUGUGAUAACCUGGCAAAUCCGGUUAUCUUUAACACUGAGGCGUGAUGACGAGGCACUACGGUGCUGAAGUGGUUAAUGCCCUGCUUCCAGGAAAAGCCUCUAAGCUCUAGAUAACACUGAAUCGUACCCCAAACCGACACAGGUGGUCAGGUAGAGAAUACCAAGGCGCUUGAGAGAACUCGGGUGAAGGAACUAGGCAAAAUGGUGCCGUAACUUCGGGAGAAGGCACGCUGGCAUGUAGGUGAAGUCCCUCGCGGAUGGAGCUGAAGCCAGUCGAAGAUACCAGCUGGCUGCAACUGUUUAAUAAAAACACAGCACUCUGCAAACACGAAAGUGGACGUAUAGGGUGUGACGCCUGCCCGGUGCUGGAAGGUUAAUUGAUGGGGUCAGCCGCAAGGCGAAGCUCUUGAUCGAAGCCCCAGUAAACGGCGGCCGUAACUAUAACGGUCCUAAGGUAGCGAAAUUCCUUGUCGGGUAAGUUCCGACCUGCACGAAUGGCGUAAUGAUGGCCAGGCUGUCUCCACCCGAGACUCAGUGAAAUUGAACUCGCUGUGAAGAUGCAGUGUACCCGCGGCAAGACGGAAAGACCCCGUGAACCUUUACUAUAGCUUGACACUGAACAUUGAACCUUGAUGUGUAGGAUAGGUGGGAGGCUUUGAAGUGUGGACGCCAGUCUGCAUGGAGCCGACCUUGAAAUACCACCCUUUAAUGUUUGAUGUUCUAACCUGGUCCCGUAAUCCGGGAUAGGGACAGUGUCUGGUGGGUAGUUUGACUGGGGCGGUCUCCUCCCAAAGAGUAACGGAGGAGCACGAAGGUUAGCUAAUCCUGGUCGGACAUCAGGAGGUUAGUGCAAAGGCAUAAGCUAGCUUGACUGCGAGAGUGACGGCUCGAGCAGGUGCGAAAGCAGGUCUUAGUGAUCCGGUGGUUCUGAAUGGAAGGGCCAUCGCUCAACGGAUAAAAGGUACUCCGGGGAUAACAGGCUGAUACCGCCCAAGAGUUCAUAUCGACGGCGGUGUUUGGCACCUCGAUGUCGGCUCAUCACAUCCUGGGGCUGAAGUAGGUCCCAAGGGUAUGGCUGUUCGCCAUUUAAAGUGGUACGCGAGCUGGGUUUAGAACGUCGUGAGACAGUUCGGUCCCUAUCUGCCGUGGGCGUUGGAAGAUUGAGAGGGGCUGCUCCUAGUACGAGAGGACCGGAGUGGACGCACCGCUGGUGUUCGGGUUGUGAUGCCAAUUGCAUUGCCCGGUAGCUACGUGCGGAAGAGAUAAGCGCUGAAAGCAUCUAAGCGCGAAACUUGCCUCGAGAUGAGUCUUCCCUUGGACCUUGAGUCCACUGAAGGAACGUUUAAGACUAAGACGUUGAUAGGCUGGGUGUGUAAGCGUAGCGAUACGUUGAGCUAACCAGUACUAAUGAUCCGUGAGGCUUAACCUUACAACACCGAAGGUGUUUUAG